rnacentral:tRNA from 3 species
GUGACACUAGCUCAGUUGGUAGAGCGCAACCUUGCCAAGGUUGAGGUCACGAGUUCGAACCUCGUGUGUCGCUCCA